rnacentral:SRP_RNA from 1 species
AACCAGGACCACGCGGAGCGGCGCCGCCCAACCCCGCCAGGUUCGGAAGGAAGCAACGGUAAGCGGACGCCGUUUGCGCCGUGUUCAUCCUGGUUCCG